GUGGGGAAUAUUGCACAAUGGGCGAAAGCCUGAUGCAGCAACGCCGCGUGAAGGAAGAAGGGUUUCGGCUCGUAAACUUCUAUCGAUGGGGAAGAAACAAAUGACGGUACCCAAAUAAGAAGCCCCGGCUAACUACGUGCCAGCAGCCGCGGUACUACGUAGGGGGCAAGCGUUAUCCGGACUUACUGGGUGUAAAGGGAGCGUAGGCGGCAUGGUAAGCCAGAUGUGAAAGCCCGAAGCUUAACUUCGAGGAUUGCAUUUGGAACUAUCAAGCUAGAGUACAGGAGAGGUAAGUGGAAUUCCUAGUGGAGCGGUGAAAUGCGUAGAUAUUAGGAAGAACACCAGUGGCGAAGGCGACUUACUGGACUGAAACUGACGCUGAGGCUCGAAAGCGUGGGGAGCGAACAGGAUUAGAAACCCGUGUAGUCC
rnacentral:rRNA from 1 species